UGGGGAAUUUUGGACAAUGGGGGAAACCCUGAUCCAGCCAUCCCGCGUGUGCGAUGAGGGCCUUCGGGUUGUAAAGCACUUUUGGCAGGAAAGAAACGUCGCGGGUUAAUACCCCCGCGAAACUGACGGUACCUGCAGAAUAAGCACCGGCUAACUACGUGCCAGCAGCCGCGGUAAUACGUAGGGUGCAAGCGUUAAUCGGAAUUACUGGGCGUAAAGCGUGCGCAGGCGGUUCGGAAACGAAAGAUGUGAAAUCCCAGAGCUUAACUUUUGGAACUGCAUUCUUAACUACCCGGGGCUAGAGUGUGUCAGAGGGAGGUGGAAUUCCGCGUGUAGCAGUGAAAUGCGUAGAUAUGCGGAGGAACACCGAUGGCGAAGGCAGCCUCCUGGGAUAACACUGACGCUCAUGCACGAAAGCGUGGGGAGCAAACAGGAUUAGAUACCCUGGUAGUCCACGCCCUAAACGAUGUGCAACUAGCUGUUGGGGGCCCUUCGGGCCUUGGUAGCGCAGCUAACGCGUNAAGUUGACCGCCUGGGGAGUACGGUCGC
rnacentral:rRNA from 1 species